CGAGGGGCUGGACCGGCCGCCGCUCGAGCCGGUCUGCUGAACCGGUGGGCGGCGCCGUGCAACCCGACGACCGCUCGA
rnacentral:tRNA from 1 species